GCAGCUGGCAAUAGUACCUUUUUCGGACAAGAUACAAAUUGACAAAGCAGAGACAACUGUGGCGAAACAUACAAGACAAAGAGAAGAUAAGCCUUUCUUAGAACAAAACAAUCUUAAACAUAGGCAUCAGAUUUUAGUAGGAGAUAGUCUUCAAUGGCUUGGUUUAUAGCCAAGACCUUCUCCUUUCCUGCUUUUAUUUCAGCUGACUGCUCAAACUUCAUGUCUUAUUUGUUUACUCAAGGUUGUUAAACAAGACAACACCUUCGAGCAAUGUGCAUUUAUAUGUGUAUGUCUCCUCGUUAAGCUCAUCAACAUGAUACUUUAUGGACCUAAAAUUGCUACAUACGCACACAAAAGAAGAAAAAAUACCAGAGUUAUCAUUUUAUCUUCGUAGAUGUUAGUAUCUACUAAGAACACCUCAAGAAAAUCCAACUCGGUAUUCAGAAAACAACCAAACUCUGCUCAACAUAAAGUUUUCAUAUUUCAGUGAUCAGUAAAGGAAAUCAAGAAGACAAAUGUCAAGCAUUGUGGGGGCAAGUCAUUCAUUGCAAAGCUGGUAUGGCAUGGGAGUUAGGAAAGCAGUUACUGAUCGAGGAAGUGGAUAUGGCACCUCCAAAAAAAAUGGAAGUUCGUCUUAAGAUCCUCUACGCUUUCCUCUGCUAUACUAAUAUCUACUUCUGGGAAGCAAAGGAGCAAAACUCAGUCUUUCCUCGCAUUCUUGGACAUGAAGCAUCAGUGAUUGUGGAGGGGGAGUAACAGAACUUGCUCUCGGAGACCAUGUCAUUCAUGUGCUCACUGCAAAUCAGAAAAAGCAAUAUGUACAGCCUCUUACGGAUUGACAAUGAAAGGGAAGUAAUGAUUCAUGAUGGACAACCAAGGUUCUCCAUCAACGGAAAGCCCCAUAUACCAUUUUGUUGGGACCUCUACCUUUAGUGAGUCCACCGUAGUUCAUGUUGGCUGUGUUGUGAAAAUCAACCCUCCUUGCUUCUUUUGACAAAGUCGGUGUUUGUAUCCUCGGUUGUGGAAUCUCGAGGAGAACGAUGACAAAUUAUGUACCUUAAGUAGUAGUUUCUUUUAAUGGGUUCAAUUGUUGAUUAAUCGGACGAUUCAUUCUUGGCCUUGGUGCAACUUUGAAUGUAACUAAACUAGCAAAAAGGUUUAAGUGUGGCUGCAUUUUGACUGGGAGCUGUAGGCCAUGCUGUGAGUCUCCAUAUUUCUGUUUUGUUCUUUCCCAUAUGUUUACUUUAAGGAACUUGAAUUUGAGAAGUUCCAGAUUCAUGAUAUUGGAAAACAAAAUGCAGCAAGCAUAAAUGAGGCUGCAAUAU